rnacentral:misc_RNA from 1 species
AAACGUGUAGAAGAUAUUAGUAGGCAGUAUUUGUUCACUCUAUAUAUAAUAGUAAGGUAUGUUCACAUUUCUAACUUCAAUUAUAUGAUUAUAAAGCAGCAUUUACGAUUAUUUUCUAAGGUGUGUUUAUAAUAAUAUUCGUAGAUUACUCCUCAAAGAUAUGGAUGCAAACACAGUGUCCCGUUAGAUGCAAGAUUUGUUCUCAUUUCUUUUU